CCAAAAAAAAAAAAGAGAAAUCGCUGGUUGAGCCAGUGAUCUCUGAAAUCGCCGGUGCAGCUGGUGAUCUCUGACCCCGGCCAUCUCAGCAUCAGGGUGGGUGUGAUUUCGAGGUGGACGGUAGUUUUGGAAAUAAGUUGGAGGAGGGGAUAGUAUUGGAAAUACAAAAUAAAAAAAUAUUAAAAAAAACCCUAAAGGAAGUCCUGUAUAGACUGUCGUAUUAUCUGUGGCCCGAGUUCUUUGUCAGAUUCAUGCUGUCGCAUUUGAUCGGAUAUUCUUCUGUUUGUAGUGACGGUGAUUGAGAGCUCGGAUUUCGGUUGGUGCCUUUGGGUAAAUCUGUCUUUUUCUGCACUUCAAUUUUUGACACUUUUCAUUGGCCCUCUUUUACGGUUUCUAAAGUUAAUCGUUAUGCUCAUGUGAUCGACCGAUGGGACUGAGUAGACUGGAAUGAUCAAGAGGAGUCAUGGAACUCUCUCUCUCUGUCUGUGGUUCAUUCCUAUUCCUUUGUUGUUGAAGCGCGAAUCUUUAGCAACUUUUUUCCUUAGCAAAUUUCUUCUCCUGUUUUACCUGUGGCUUUCAAAUAUUGAUAUUCUUUAAUCUUCUUGAAUGCGAUCAUCAAUGCCAUACAGCUGCUGCCUUUGGGUCAAUCUGUCUUUUCGUUCACUCUAAUUUUUGAUUUUUAUUGGUCCUGUUUAUGUUUGGAACGAGAACUUGGCAAAGCUGCGAUCGUUGAGGCUUUUCACUGAGCUUUCUUCUAGUUGUUGAAUUCUUCUUACUUGUGAGGUGUAUCCCGUAUUAUUUGGUAUUAGCUCUUUCUGUGAUCAUUGUCCUUAUCUUUUAUAUUUUAUGUUUUGUCAAAGUUUGCGAAAUUGUUUAACUGCAAGCAUGCUAAUGUCACAAAACAUGACAUUGUUCCAUUGAGUUCGAAGGUUGAAGCAUGAGUUGAAAUGAUGGAACAGUAAUUACUGUUUUGCUGAAAAUAAUGGUUUUAUUCGAAACUAUCCCAAGUCUCUUUUUAUCUGUUGGCAUUGUUAUGCCAUUUCUUGCAAUUCGUGCACUGCUUGGCUUUAUGUCUCAUUGCAGUCUCUUGUAGCUGAAACUUAGAUGUUCCUAUUUCUGUUGGAUCUUGGUGUUGUUUUAUAAAGGUCUAGUUUUUGUAGUCAUCCUUUCUCAUCUUCCUCUGACCUCCUUUUUGGUUUGUAUGUCUAAGCAGAGUGUUUUCAUAAAUAUUAUAUUCUGCAAUCAUCAUAUUUUAUGAGAAUGUAUUUGUGAAGAAUACCUUUCUGUUGGAAAUUCAACCCAAUCCCCUGAAAAAACAGAGUUGUCAAGUGUGCCUAAUUUGUGGUGACACUGUGGGAGUUACAUCCACAGGUGAUAUCUUUGUUGCUUGCCAUGAGUGUACUUUCCUGGUUUGCGGGCCUUGUUAUAAAUAUGAGUGGAAAUAUGGUAAUCAGUGCUGCCCUCAAUGCAAGACAAAGUACAGAGACAAAAAGGAGGUCUCAAGUUUGGAGAGAUGAAGAAGAGGUGGAUGAUGUUUGGUGGCUUGGACAAUGAGUUUAACUACAACAAGGGAAUGUUGCAUAAAACUACGAUAAGAAAAUGGCAAUGCAGUGCAGCAUUGGCAGCUUCAGGGCCAGGGUGACGAUGUUGAUUUAUUUUCUGCUUAUAGACAUGAAGCUCAGCCUGAAUUUUUCGUCCUACCAAUGGCUGCUGGUAGGACACUAUGGCUUUAUUAUUGUAGCUUUACUGAUGUCAUCUAAACUGGGUGUUUUCACCUUGUCUUUAAGAAUUUAGGUUCUUUUGUUUGAUGUUUUUAGGUUUUCACAUUUGAUUUUGAAAUAACAAAUUAAUCACUGUAAGAUUAGCUAAUCAUGUGUACAAUUGGAAAUGUAGGUUUGGCUGAUCAUAUGCACUUUUGGGAAUAGCAAAGGCUAAAUUGGUUUCAGAUUCACCAAUCAUAUGCUUAAUUAAGUGGAGACAAUAGGAAGUCAUUCUGAAUGGUUAAAUCUAAGAUUCAUGAAUCAUAUGCAUGAUCAGUGACAAUGAUUAAGGCUAACUUAGCAUGGAUAAAUUGCUAAUCAUUUCAUGCUUUUAAGUGCUAGUUGCUACCAGUGGUGGUCUUCGUGCAAUUCCUCCCAAAGAACUUUGUUUCAAGUCAACUUAAUCUUUCAUAUGAUUGCAGGUAAAUGAAUUUCUUCUCCUAAUUCACACUUACAUUUUCAUUUUCCGCAUAACAACAGUAUUACCCCACAACCCCCCUCCCCCCAUACACACACACUUUCAUGCUGUCGUGCUGUACUUUAUUGUUCCUGAUUGAUCCAGACAACAAAAAUAAGUAUAACCUUUAUUUUGUUAGUGCUCUUUCCCUCAUGUUUAGUUAUUAAGAUUUUCAGAUCUCUGGAGAACUACCGAAUGCUCCACCAGAUAAUCAAUAUAUUCAAAACCAAUCAGAUCCUCUGGGAUCUGGUGAAAAACAUCCUCGCUCACUUACGUCAAUCCUGGCCUUCCAGGUAUCUGAAUAUGUUAUGAAUUGGUCAUUGAACAGUGUAUGCAUUAAAACAGUUUGGCUUAUUAAAAAUAGUUUGUCUUAAUUUUGGUAUGUUAUGAGACAUGUUCCAGUAAGAAACGUCGAUCCUUUAAAGGAUUUGAACUCAUACGGGCUUAGCAAUGUUGACCGGAAAGAAAGAGUUGGAUGGAAACCCAAACAGGAUAAAAACAUGUUGUAGAUGACAAGCAGAUACACCGAAGGAAAAGGAGAUAUCAAAGGAACUAGUUCAAAUGGUGAAAACCUGCAAAUGUUUGCACUCAAAUGUCUGAGCAGCAGCUUUUGUGCAUAUUGUUCCUGUUUGUUCCUUGUUUCAUUUAGAUGAGGACCUGAGCAUUUGGCCAAUCUAUUAUCUGAGUUGAACAUUUUCCUUUGUGCUGAACAACAGUGUCCUCAGAAUACCAGAUAUUUGCCAAACCACCAAAAUGAAGAAGAUACUGACAUGGUUCAAGGUAGGUGUAGUGAAACAGUAGAAAUAGUAGAACAGCAGCCACUUCAGCAAUCUCUGGAUCACUCUUCUGUUUUCUUUGGACAGAGCUGAUGAUGCUUAUCAACCUUUGAACUGUGCAGUGCCUAUUCCUUCCAAGUUCUGACCGACUCAACCUUUACCUAGUAGUAAUCAUAUUCCAACUUAUUAUCUUAGGUUUCUUCUUCCAGUAUCAUAUUACUCAUCAAGAUGCCCACCUGCUGUCAUCUGUCAUCUGCGAGAUCUGAUUUGCUUCAUCUUGGCUUCUUGAUCAUUUUCCUAAAUGGUAUCCAAUCAACUGUGAAAAUACCUUGACAGGCAUGCACUAAGAUUAAUCAUUGUAGGUUCCUUUUCCUCAAAGUAGGACAUGCCAUGUCUUUUUUGAUCUGGACAUUAUAUUGUAUCAAAAAAAUCAGUCAUCUUACUGACAGAUAUGACAGGGAAGGAGAACCUUCUCAUUUAGUCCUGACUGAUAUUUUUGUCACUAUGAUUGAUACCCUCAAAGAGCCUCCUCUUAUGCCAACACUGUAUUGUCCAUUCUUGCUGUGGGGUAACCUGUCGACAAAGUUUCAUCUGUGUAUCUGAUGAUGGUUCAGCUAUGUGGACAUUUGAAGCCCUAUCAGAGUGCAGAAUUUGCUAGGAAGUGGCUUUCUUUCUGCAAGAAACAAAAUAUAGAACCCAGGGUGCCUGUGUUUUACCUUGCUUACAAAAUGGAUUGCUUGAAGGACAAAAUUCAACCUUCUUUUGUCAAAGAAUGCUAGGCAAUUAAGGUAUGUGGAAAGCAAUUUGCUCAAACUAAUGAAGUCCAUAACUUUGAAUCUCGUAGGAUAUCAGGCAAUCAAGUCCUCUGCUCCAGAGAUAGUAUGAAGAGUUGGAAGUGCAGAUAAAUGCUCUUGUUGCCAAAGUAUGAAAAAUUCCAAAAGGAGGACGGGCAAUGCAAGAUGGCGCUCCUUGGCCUGGAAAUAAUCCAAGAGAUCAUCCUGACAUAAUUCAGGUGUCAGGCCUGGAAAUUCCCAUACACCUUUUGUCGUCAUUUCAUGUUUCAUCCAUUCUUGUUAUCUCACCCUUUCAUUGUCAAAACAAAAGCUGUUUUUAUGGCACAGUGGAUGGCUUGAUAAAGAUGCUACCUCGAUGUUUUGACUUUUCCCAUUGAGAAGUGACCAGGCUUUGGGCAUUAGAAAAAGCUGGUGCAAUUAAUGCUCUGAUUUGUAUCUUGUACAUAGUUACAGAAAUUCCGGCAUACUUUUAUGGCAUUCAGCAGCAUCUUGUGCUGUUCAGAUUUC